UUAAAUUGAAGAGUUUGAUCAUGGCUCAGAUUGAACGCUGGCGGCAGGCCUAACACAUGCAAGUCGAACGGUAGCACAGAGAGCUUGCUCUCGGGUGACGAGUGGCGGACGGGUGAGUAAUGUCUGGGAAACUGCCUGAUGGAGGGGGAUAACUACUGGAAACGGUAGC
rnacentral:rRNA from 2 species